rnacentral:rRNA from 1 species
UACGGAAUGUGCAAACGUUAUUCGGAAUUACUGGGCGUAAAGCGUGCGCAGGCGGUUUUGUAAGCCAGAUGUGAAAUCCCCGGGCUUAACCUGGGAAUGGCAUUUGGGACUGCAAGGCUGGAGUUUGGCAGAGGAGACUGGAAUUCCUGGUGUAGCAGUGAAAUGCGUAGAUAUCUGGAGGAACACCGGUGGCGAAGGCGGCAUCCUGGACCGACACUGACGCUGAUGAGCGAAAGCCAGGGGAGCAAACGGG